rnacentral:rRNA from 1 species
UACGAAGGGGGCUAGCGUUGCUCGGAAUGACUGGGCGUAAAGGGCGCGUAGGCGGCUUGCACCGUCAGAUGUGAAAUUCCUGGGCUUAACCUGGGGGCUGCAUUUGAUACGUGUGGGCUUGAGUGCGGAAGAGGGUCGUGGAAUUCCCAGUGUAGAGGUGAAAUUCGUAGAUAUUGGGAAGAACACCAGUGGCGAAGGCGGCUAACUGGUCCGGUACUGACGCUGAGGUGCGAAAGCGUGGGGAGCAAACAGG